rnacentral:snoRNA from 1 species
AGGCAUAUGAUGAGAUUUACUCGGAUUCCCCUUCAGGACUUCAUGGGUGAUGUAAACUCGAGUUUCUGAUGCA